rnacentral:rRNA from 1 species
AGAGUUUGAUCCUGGCUCAGAGCGAACGGCGGCGUGCUUAACACAUGCAAGUCGAGUGCGCGCCUGUAGCAAUACAGGGGNNNACGGCGCACGGGUGCGUAACACGUGGGUACCUGCCCUUUGAUGGGGAAUAACCCCGCGAAAGCGGGGCUAAUCCGCAUAAGAUCCGCAAGGAUGAAAGCCGAAAGGCGUCGAAGGAGGGCCUGCGCACGAUUAGGUAGUUGGUAGGGUAACGGCCUACCAAGCCUUUGAUCGUUAGCUGGUCUGAGAGGAUGGCCAGCCACACUGGAACUGAGACACGGUCCAGACUCCUACGGGAGGCAGCAGUGGGGAAUCUUGCACAAUGGGCGAAAGCCUGAUGCAGCGACGCCGCGUGGGGGAUGAAGCUUUUCGGAGUGUAAACCCCUUUCGACCCGGACGAAUACCUCGUAAGAGGGGUGACGGUACGGGUAUAAGAAGCCCCGGCUAACUACGUGCCAGCAGCCGCGGUAAGACGUGGGGGGCCAGCGUUGCUCGGAAUUACUGGGUGUAAAGGGUCAGUAGGCGGUGUGGCAAGUCGGGAGUGAAAUCUCUGGGCUUAACUCAGAGACUGCUUCCGAAACUGCUGUGCUUGAGUGUGGGAGAGGCGCGUGGAAUUGCAGGUGUAGCGGUGAAAUGCGUAGAUAUCUGCAGGAACACCCGUGGCGAANNCGGCGCGCUGGACCACAACUGACGCUGAAUGACGAAAGCUAGGGGAGCAAACAGGAUUAGAUACCCUAGUAGUCC